CCAACUAGAACAAAAGUGGAUUGGACCUUGGGACAUACUCCUCACCAGCCCCCACCAUGGUGAAGAUGGCAGAAAUAAAACCUUGGAUUCAUCACACUAGAUCGGAAGAGCAAACUCC